rnacentral:rRNA from 1 species
UACAGAGGUGGCAAGCGUUGUUCGGAAUCACUGGGCUUAAAGGGCGCGUAGGCGGGUGCUCAAGUCCGGGGUGAAAUCCUCCAGCUCAACUGGAGAACUGCCUCGGAUACUGGGUGCCUCGAGUGUGGUAGGGGUAUGCGGAACUAUCGGUGGAGCGGUGAAAUGCGUUGAUAUCGAUAGGAACCCCGGUGGCGAAGGCGGCAUACUGGACCACUUCUGACGCUGAGGCGCGAAAGCCAGGGGAGCAAACGGG